rnacentral:rRNA from 1 species
UACAGAGGGUGCGAGCGUUAAUCGGAAUUACUGGGCGUAAAGGGCGCGUAGGUGGUUAAUUAAGUCAGAUGUGAAAUCCCUGGGCUUAACCUAGGAAUGGCAUAUGAAACUGAUUAGCUAGAGGACGGGAGAGGGAAGUGGAAUUUCCGGUGUAGCGGUGAAAUGCGUAGAUAUCGGAAGGAACACCAGUGGCGAAGGCGACUUCCUGGCCCGUAACUGACACUGAGGCGCGAAAGCGUGGGGAGCGAACAGG